CGCGGGGUAGAGUAGAGGAAACUCACGAGCUUCAUAAGCUCGGACCGUGGGUUCGAAUCCCACCCCCGCUACCA
rnacentral:tRNA from 1 species